rnacentral:rRNA from 1 species
UACGUAGGGCGCAAGCGUUGUCCGGAAUUAUUGGGCGUAAAGAGCUCGUAGGUGGCGUGUCGCGUCUGCCGUGAAAGCCCAUGGCUUAACUGUGGGUCUGCGGUGGAUACGGGCAGGCUGGGGGCUGGUAGGGGCAAGCGGAAUUCCUGGUGUAGCGGUGAAAUGCGCAGAUAUCAGGAGGAACACCGGUGGCGAAGGCGGAUCUCUGGGCCUUACCUGACGCUGAGGAGCGAAAGCGUGGGGAGCGAACAGG